rnacentral:rRNA from 1 species
AUUGAACGCUGGCGGCACGCUUUACACAUGCAAGUCGGGCGGCAGCAUGGGACUUCGGUCCCGAUGGCGAGCGGCGGACGGGUGAGUAAUGCAUGGGAAUGCGCCCAGUAGUGGGGGACAACCCUGGGAAACCAGGGCUAAUACCGCAUGUUUUCCACGGAACAAAGCGGGGGACUUCUUCGGAAACCUCGCGCUAUUGGAGCAGCCCGUGUCCGAUUAGCUUGUUGGCGGGGUAACGGCCCACCAAGGCGACGAUCGGUAGCUGGUCUGAGAGGAUGAUCAGCCACACCGGGACUGAGACACGGCCCGGACUCCUACGGGAGGCAGCAGUGGGGAAUAUUGGACAAUGGGGGCAACCCUGAUCCAGCGAUGCCGCGUGAGUGAAGAAGGCCUUCGGGUUGUAAAGCUCUUUCGCUUGGGAAGAAACGGCCGGGAAGAAUACGCCCGCGCCACUGACGGUACCUUGAGAAGAAGCACCGGCUAACUUCGUGCCAGCCGCCGCCGUAAAAC